rnacentral:lncRNA from 1 species
GCUGACUCUCUUUUCGGACUCAGCCCGCCUGCACCCAGGUGAAAUAGACAGCCAUGUUGCUCACACAAAGCCUGUUUGCUGGUCUCUUCACACUGACUCGAGUGAAAUUUGGUGCCGUGACUAGGAUCGGGGGACCUCCCUUGGGAGAUCAAUCCCCCGUCCUCCUACACUUUGCUCUGUGAGAAAGAUCCACCUACAACCUCAGGUCCUCAGACCAACCAGCCCAAGAAACAUCUCACCAAUUUCAAAUCCGUGAUAGAUCACAACAAGAGAUCAUGAAGAGGGCAUGGCCGCCAUGUCAUUCUGGAGAGAGACAGAGUAAAACAAAGAAGGUGAUGGCAGCCUCUCUACAAGUCUCCUAACUUAACCUGAUGGGAAAACACUUCCUACCACUAACAGCAUCUACUUGAUUACUGAUACUUUGAUCAUGGAGUUUGGGCAUGCCACUUGAUAGAAAUUUGAAGAGCAAUUAUAUUUUUCAAAAAGAGUUUUGAAUAAUGUUAAGAUAGAUUGCAACAUGACUAUCAAUUCUUCCCUUCCCAUCAAAGGAGAGAGUCCGUUUAUCCAGCCUUUGAAUCUUGAUUAUUCAUGUGACUUGCUUCACCCAAUGUAACAUUAAUAAGCACAAUACAAGCAGAGGCUUGCCAAGAACUUGGUUUGUUUCUAAUGCUUAGAAGAAGAAUGGUGUAUGCCAUAUUUCUGCAUUUAGAACUCACGUGGAGACAUGUGUGGCCCAAUUGCUUCUCUUUCAUCUCAGGCAAUAACCAGACACGGGACUGAGGCCAUCCAUGACCAGCCAGCCCUAGCCAACACACAACACACAAGCUGAUCACAGAUGCAUGAGUAAGCCUGAGACCAGCCAAGACCAGCCUAGAAUAGAACUGCUCAGCAGCAAUAAAAACUAAAUAAAUUGUUACCUUAAGCUACUUUUAGAGCUAUUUGGAAGUGUAUUUUUGUGCAGCUAACAUUUACUAGCAGAUAAAAUGGUGAUUGUUUAUCUCUGUUUUAUUGAUGUUUUAAGGAAAUUGUUUCUAUUAAAAGGAAAUAUCUGGUCUUUGUCACGUU